AACGAACGCUGGCGGCAUGCCUAACACAUGCAAGUCGAACGAGAUCUUCGGGUCUAGUGGCGCACGGGUGCGUAACGCGUGGGAAUCUGCCCUUUGGUUCGGAAUAACAGUUGGAAACGACUGCUAAUACCGGAUGAUGACGAAAGUCCAAAGAUUUAUCGCCAGAGGAUGAGCCCGCGUAGGAUUAGCUAGUUGGUGUGGUAACGGCGCACCAAGGCGACGAUCCUUAGCUGGUCUGAGAGGAUGAUCAGCCACACUGGGACUGAGACACGGCCCAGAUUCCUACGGGAGGCAGCAGUGGGGAAUAUUGGACAAUGGGCGAAAGCCUGAUCCAGCAAUGCCGCGUGAGUGAUGAAGGCCUUAGGGUUGUAAAGCUCUUUUACCCGGGAUGAUAAUGACAGUACCGGGAGAAUAAGCUCCGGCUAACUCCGUGCCAGCCGCCGCGGUAA
rnacentral:rRNA from 1 species